rnacentral:rRNA from 1 species
CCUACGGGUGGCAGCAGUGGGGAAUAUUGCACAAUGGGGGAAACCCUGAUGCAGCGACGCCGCGUGAGUGAAGAAGUAUUUCGGUACGUAAAGCUCUAUCAGCAGGGAAGAAAAUGACGGUACCUGACUAAGAAGCCCCGGCUAACGACGUGCCAGCAGCCGCGGUAAUACGUAGGGGGCAAGCGUUAUCCGGAUUUACUGGGUGUAAAGGGAGCGUAGACGGCAGCGCAAGUCUGGAGUGAAAUCCCAUGGCUUAACCAUGGAACUGCUUUGGAAACUGUGCAGCUAGAGUGCAGGAGAGGUAAGCGGAAUUCCUAGUGUAGCGGUGAAAUGCGUAGAUAUUAGGAGGAACACCAGUGGCGAAGGCGGCUUACUGGACUGUAACUGACGUUGAGGCUCGAAAGCGUGGGGAGCAAACAGGAUUAGAUACCCCAGUAGUC